AUUACUGUUACUCUUACUAUUACUAUUACUUUUACUAUACAUGCUGUCCAGGUUUUGGUUUCUUAUUCUUUAUUGCUGGAAAGAUGAAAAGUCACACCAGGCUGGGAGUCCAAGGUGGAAGCUGUGGUGAUAUGCUCUGGAAAUGUCACUGAAAUUUAAACAGAAAACCUCACCCAUAUGCCUGCAGGGAAUAGCUGCAUUUGCCAAAUCCAACUUUUGGUGCACAGAAGAAGUGGGAAAUAUAAAUAGAAAGUGUAAGCUUUUGGAUAUACAAAAUGGGUUUGUAAUUUAAGGCCUCCCAGCCGGUGGCAACAAUUGUCCAUGUCUUGUGGGGUGUCAAUUUUCCCUCUUCUCUUUAUUUGGCUCAGCAAGCCGCCUUCUGCAAUCACAGUUUAAAGCCUUGGCUUAUGUGUCUUCUGUCUCCUAUCUCACGUCGAGUCGCUGUCGUCCUAGGGAGCUGCAGGAUGCUAUCCACUAAUCUGAUGCUGCAGUCUCUAGGCCUGUGGUUGGAUAUUGAGAAAAAAAAAAAAAAAAAAAAAAAAAAAAAAAAAAAAGAAAAAAAAAAAAAAAGAGGAAAAAAAAAAAGCUUUCCUAAAUGAUAUACCAAAUUACACAUUAUUUCACUUGACAAACAAAAACUCUUUUGUGGUUAGCAGAAUGAAUCGUGUACAUCAUAAUUUUGACAGUGAGUACUGAGGUCGAACUGGCUCUUUAAACAAUUUCCCUGUGUACGCAUUGCUGUUCCAGUUCAAUGCGAGCAUAUGGCAAACACAGAAACUAUACUUACUGAUGCCAGGGCAUGACCAAAAUCUAUAAUAAUGUUGUUUACUUUCACCAGCUUUGCAAGAAAGAAUGUAGCCUCAUGCACUUAAACGACCUCAGAAGAGUCACAAUUUUGCUUUGUCGAUAAUUUACUGAAAACAUGCAUUGUCCCUUAGAAACAUAAGGACCCAAGACAUUUGCACUAACCGAGUAGAGCUCAUCUACACAGAGCCUUGCUUGUCUCCUGGAGAAAACCUAAGGAAAUUCUCUCCAUGACGUUGGUUAGAGUGGAGAGAGGCGGCAGAAAAACGUAGCUUUUGGAGCACACUUGGCUUAUGCUCUUUUUGUUGUUGUCAUUUCUGAUAAAAAUCAUAAUAUUUCAAAGUCUUCUACAGACAGAGGUCUGCCAACUUCCUUCUCCCACUAAAUUGGCAGUUCUCAAGCCCUGCCAGGAAAGAACAUAUUUGAGCAUCUUAGCACUGCGUGGUCUGGCAGGCGAGUGUUGAGAGGCAGAGGUGGUUGGCCACUCCUCUGGAGAAGGUUGUAACAUCCAGUGCUCAAGGGGGUUUUCCUCUGCACUUUUGUCAGGCACUAAAGCUGCCCUAAUGACGUGGAGCUGUGGGACAGUGCAGGCUUUGAAAUGCUGGGGGAAUAAACAAGCUCAGCUAGCUGCCUGCGGAAACGCCAGCUCUCACAGAAAAACAUCCUUCUUCACAACCCAAAUCAGAAUGUCAACAGGAGGAUAGUCUUCCUUUCGCUUUGGUCUGAAACAUCGUAGGGAAAGGCGAGGGAGAGCCUGAAGGGAUGGGAUUUCUUAAAUAAAGAUGUGUGUUGAGGCUCUGAAUGACAUUGCAGAGAUUCAUUUAAUAGCCCAGUUAAAUUUUCAAUGACAGCAGCGUCAAAGACUAGCACUGCAGAGAUUCAGAAGAUAUUAAGUAAACGGAUCUGCAUAAAGUAGCUUCCACACUGCCUGGGAAGCACAUGGACAUGGAUUUCAAGUGUCAAUGAGGAGCUGACUUUCACUCCCAUUCCAGGCAAUGAGAAUCAGGACCAAGCAUCUGAAGAAAAACUGUCAGAUUGUUUAAAAUCAAGACAGCCUCUACUUGAGACAGUAGUUCUACAAGGGUGAAGCAGAAUAACCUAAUGGUAGAGAUAUAAAUGUUUGUUUAUGUAAGGACAGAAUAUCACUGAUUUAUAUUUCUUCCUUUUUACACUUCCUAGUUCAUACUGCCCUCUGCUAUUUCUUAAUCAUCAGGCCCACAAUCAUAGCAAAUACACACACACACACACACAAGAUAAAAAUUUGAGAAACCAAUAAACUCAGUACUGGAAUAGAAAGGAGGUAUUAUUCUAGCAGUAAAAACUUAAUUACAGUUAGUUCACGUGUCCAAUCCACCCGGUAGCUCAUAAAAUGGUCAAUGAACUCACCAGGUUCUCAGGUAUUGGAUAGAUGACAGAGGGCACUGCUGGGAGAUGUGCAAAUACCCAUCCGCAGGAGCUCAGCCCUUCAGGGUUUACCCAUGCCACUGUCUCCGAGUGGAAACAGAGCUGUACUGGGCUAAUAACCCCAUCUGGAGUCCCUCUGGUUCUGCAUGGAGCUAACACAUAAAUUUACCCACACUAAAGUUAGUAUGCAAGAAAACAGAGCACCUUCCGAUGGCUAAGAGUUGAUUUGUAUGUCUGUUUUGACCUAGGAAGGGGUAGAUGUUACAGAAGCACCACCAUCCCAAGGCAAUCCAAGGGUUCAACCUCCAGCAAUUCUCCCAGUG